CAGAGAAUAGUUUAAUUUAAGAAUCCUGGCUUUGGGGGUCAGGGGUGAAGGUUAAAAUCCUUCUUCUUUGA
rnacentral:tRNA from 1 species